rnacentral:rRNA from 1 species
GACGAACGCUGGCGGCGCGCCUAACACAUGCAAGUCGAACGAAGGGAAGGGGGCUUGCCCCCUGAACUUAGUGGCGGACGGGUGAGUAACACGUGAGCAACCUGCCCUAUAGAGGGGGAUAACGUUUGGAAACGAACGCUAAUACCGCAUAACGCGCUGGGGGGACAUCCCUUUGGCGCCAAAGGAGCAAUCCGCUAUAGGAUGGGCUCGCGUCCGAUUAGAUAGUUGGCGGGGUAACGGCCCACCAAGUCGACGAUCGGUAGCCGGACUGAGAGGUUGAACGGCCACAUUGGGACUGAGACACGGCCCAG